rnacentral:rRNA from 1 species
CCUACGGGGGGCUGCAGUAGGGAAUCUUCCGCAAUGGACGAACGUCUGACGGAGCAACGCCGCGUGAGCUAAGAAGGUAUACGGUUCGUAAAGCUCUGUUGUCGGUGAAGAAUAAGUACGGUAGGAAAUGGCCGUACCUUGAAGGUACCCGACGAGAAAGCGACGGCUAACUACGUGCCAGCAGACGCGGAUACACGGAGGUGGAAAGCGUUGUCCGGGAAUAUUGGGCUUAAAGCCCGAGCAGAUGGUGCUUUAAGUAUGAGUUGAAAUCCUGCGGCUCAACUGAAGACGGUCAUUGAAAACUGGGGAAGUUGCAGACAGAAAAGGACAGCAGAAUUCAACGUGGAGCGGUGAAGUUGGUGGAGAUCUGCAGCAACACCAGUGGUGAAGGUGGGCUUCUGGUCUGUAAUUGACGCUGUGGCGCGAAGGCAUGGGGCGCAAACAGGAUUAGCUACACUGGUAGUC